rnacentral:rRNA from 1 species
AGAACGAACGCUGGCGGCGCGCCUAACACAUGCAAGUCGGACGCAUUCGCAAGAGUGAGUGGCGGACGGGUGAGUAACACGUGGGAACCUGCCUUGGGGUCUGGGAUAGCUGCGGGAAACUGCAGGUAACACCGGAUACGCACGAGAGUGGAAAGUUUACGCCCUAUAGAUGGGCCCGCGUCGGAUUAGGUAGUUGGUGGGGUAAUGGCCUACCAAGGCAACGAUCAGUAUCCGGCCUGAGGAGGGGCGGACGGACACGACUGGGACUGAGACACGGCCCAGACUCCUACGGGAGCAGCGAGUGGGGAAUU